rnacentral:rRNA from 1 species
GAAAGCGUGGGUAGCGANCAGGAUUAGAUACCCUGGUAGUNCACGCCGUAAACGAUGAGUGCUAGGUGUUAGGCCCUUUCCGGGGCUUAGUGCCGGAGCUAACGCAAUAAGCACUCCGCCUGGGGAGUACGACCGCAAGGUUGAAACUCAAAGGAAUUGACGGGGGNCCGCACAAGCGGUGGAGCAUGUGGUUUAAUUCGAAGCAACGCGAAGAACCUUACCAGGUCUUGACAUCCCGAUGCUAUUCUUAGAGAUAGGAAGUUACUUCGGUACAUCGGAGACAGGUGGUGCAUGGUUGUCGUCAGCUCGUGUCGUGAGAUGUUGGGUUAAGUCCCGCAACGAGCGCAACCCUUAUUGUUAGUUGCCAUCAUUAAGUUGGGCACUCUAGCGAGACUGCCGGUAAUAAACCGGAGGAAGGUGGGGGUGACGUCAAAUCAUCAUGCCCCUUAUGACCUGGGCUACACACGUGCUACAAUGGUCGGUACAACGAGUUACGAGCCGGUGACGGCAAGCUAAUCUCUGAAAGCCGAUCUCAGUUCGGAUUGGAGGCUGCAACUCGCCUCCAUGAAGUCGGAAUCGCUAGUAAUCGCGGAUCAGCACGCCGCGGUGAAUACGUUUCCGGGCCUUGUACACACCGCCCGUCACACCACGAGAGUUUGUAACACCCGAAGUCGGUGAGGUAACCUUUUAGGGGCCAGCCG